rnacentral:rRNA from 1 species
AGCAGCCGCGGUAAUUCCAGCUCCAAUAGCGUAUAUUAAAGUUGUUGCAGUUAAAAAGCUCGUAGUUGAAUUUCGGGAUCAGUGGGUCGGUCGUGCCACUGGUAUGCACUGGCUCUACUGGUUCCUCCUUCUUGAAGAACUGUAAUGCCAUUAAUUUGGUGUUGCAGGGAAACAGGACUGUUACUUUGAAAAAUUAGAGUGUUUAAAGCAGGCAAUCGCUUGAAUACAUUAGCAUGGAAUAAUGAAAUAGGACGUUCGAUCCUAUUUUGUUGGUUUCUAGGAUUGACGUAAUGAUUAAUAGGGAUAGUUGGGGGCAUUAGUAUUCAAUUGUCAGAGGUGAAAUUCUUGGAUUUAUUGAAGACUAACUACUGCGAGAGCAUUUGCCAAGGAUGUUUUCAUUAAUCAAGAACGAAAGUUAGGGGAUCGAAGACGAUCAGAUACCGUCGUAGUCUUAACCAUAAACUAUGCCGACUAGGGAUCGGAUGAUGUUAAUUUUUAAUGA